UGGUUCUGGCAUCGAUGAAGAACGCAGCGAAAUGCGAUAAGUAAUGUGAAUUGCAGAAUUCAGUGAAUCAUCGAAUCUUUGAACGCACAUUGCGCCCCUUGGUAUUCCGAGGGGCAUGCCUGUUCGAGCGUCAUUAUAACCACUCAAGCCUGGCUUGGUAUUGGGGUUCGCGGUCCCGCGGCUCUUAAAAUCAGUGGCGGCGCCAUCUGGCUCUAAGCGUAGUAAUCUUUCUCGCUACAGGGUCCCGGUGGAUGCUUGCCAGCAACCCCUUAUUUUCUUAGGUUGACCUCGGAUCAGGUAGGGAUACCCGCUGA
rnacentral:misc_RNA from 1 species